GCUUACUGCUCCAUAUGCGGACAUAAUGUAUCAGUGCGUUUGCUGAUGUACCUGAACAUUUCGCUGUCUUGCAUUAAACGUCCUUGUGUUUCUAGUUGUUUUUGUGGGCAGUUGGUACCUGUUUUAAGAAAACAUUCUUGGGAAACAGGUGGACAUAUAUUGUACAGUUGUCUGACUGUUAAUAAGGAACAAGUUAAUAUGAACAUACUAUCAUGCUUAGGUUAUUGUCUUCUUAAGGGCUUGUUUGGGCAUGUGGGAAUCAGGUCAAAUCCCUUCAGAUUGGCAUGGAAAUUAGUUCUUUUUCCUGCACCAAUCUGAAGUGAUUGGUUCCAAUCCAGUGUGCCAUACAAGCCCUUGGGAAAUUCCUCGUCGCUCCCGGAAAGUGGCAGUACCUACACACACAGUUCCAUUGCUAACUGUGGAGCCUUCAGGUUCAGAUUUGUGCAUUUUAGUUUUCAGAAGGGCACGGUCCAUGGUCCAUGGACAUCUUUUCUUUUUUGCAUUAUCAAACACGAAUUCUUAAAGAAGCAGCAGAGGGACAUGGGAAGGGGAAGAGCUACAAGCUCACACCAAACGGGCAGUGCUAUGACCCUUAAAUCGAUGGAACAGGGACCCAAUGGGCGCGGGCAAGACGCCUCGGUUCGGCAGUUUUGCGGUCUCUUCUCCUCUACGCAAACCGGGCCAAACCCGUCCUUCCCGGCCCCAUCGGUCGCGCGCGCACGCACACACCACGCGAGCGGGCGGAGACGGUGGACAUGGCGCCGGCCGCGGCAGGCGAUUCGCCCUCGUCGGAGGCGAAGGCGGAGCAUCAGCAUAAGCAGCUCAGGAUCGCCGUCAUCCACCCCGACCUCGGAAUCGGUGGUGCAGCGAGACUGAUAUAGUUCAUGUGGCAUGCAAGCUCACUUCCCAUGGACAUAAUGUUCAUGUUUUCACAUCAUGCCAUGACAAAACUGUGUUUUGAGGAGACUGUGUCUGGUCAAUUUCCAGUUUCUGUGUAUGGGGAUUUCUUACCUCGACAUAUCUGUUUUCAUGCUGUCUGUGCAUACCUCCGAUGCAUUUUUGUGGCACUAUGUGUGCUACUUUGGUGGCCUUCAUUUGACAUCAUAUUUGCAGUCCAGGUUUCUGUUCUGAUUUCACUGCUUAAACUGAAGGCCUAGCCCAAUGUACUGACUUAUAUUUUUUAGAACUUCUCUUUGGUUUAACCUCAGAAGUUAAGUAAAAAUUACUUUUGUGCAUCUGUUCAGAUUUUGUUCUAUUGCCAUUUCCCUGAUUUGUUUCUUGCAAGCACACUUCUAUUCUUCGGAAUUUAUAUCGCAAGCCCAUUGAUAUGAUUGAGGAAGCCACUACUGGUCUCGUCUUAUGUCACUAUAUUGCAAUCUGGUUCAUUUCCUGCUCAUAUAUGUAGACACCUUUGAUGCAUGCUAAAGGUGGCGGUUUUUAUUUUUUAUCAUAUCAGGUAUGCCGGAUUUGAUUCUAGUUAACAACAAGUUCACUGCAUCUACAUUUGCCAGGACCUUUAGUAGCCUUCAUGCCAGGGGAAUUGAGCCUGCUGUUCUAUACUCAGCAGUCUAUGUUGAGCAGUUUGAUGAACCCCAUGCUUAUAAGUAACUAGAAUACUCAUAUAUAUACUCAUAUUUCUAUAACCCAAAUUGACAUAAUAUAAUCUAUUCUCAUAUAAUUAUAGGAACGUCACUCUUGUCUAUUAUGUUAACCUACCAUGCCAUGUUCGUUGAUGCUAAAAUGUUAUUUAUUGACCAUUGUGCAGACUGAAUUUUCUAUCAAUCAACCUAUCGACGAUUUGUAAACCGCCGAUCUUAUAAAUACAUGAAUAAAGUAGGGGAUACUCCCUGUAGCCAAAUCAUACGUCAGAAUACAGAGAUUUAUACAGGUUCAUACCUCACAAAAGAUAAUAGCCUUAUGUCCCGUUGUCUUCUAUUGAUCUUCGAGACAGAUUAAAAGGGGGAGGGGAGGGUCUUGGCUAGCCUAGAUAGAUCUAAACCUAGUCGAGGGCUCAUCGCGUGUAGUCUCGGCGAGAUGUUGAUGUAGAUGCCGAGUACAGAGGGCUCAGGGCUCGUGGUGCGCUUGAGGGUUUUGUAUGCUUCGGCGAUGGGCUUAUGUCUUGUCUUCCACAGGGUCCCUUGUCUCCGUAUAUAUAUGAGGAUUGCCGUGUAGCAUCCAGACUCCUUUCCGAGUAGGAUUCGAUCAUCCUUAAACUUAGUGAUAAACUUAAUCAUUUAAGGGAUAUUCUGGAACACGUGAUACUUUGGAACGUCUAAAGACUUCUUUCCUAGAUACAAUCGUAUGCUCCGAGAAUCUAGGAAAUCCUAGGAGAUUCACAUACGUAUAGGACAGUCGUAUAUGGUAGUUUUAUACUACUUAUCGUCAAGUCCCCUAUCAAUACGUGAAAUGAGGUUGUGACGGAUCAAAAACUUAACAUAGUCAAAGGAAACAUUUUGACAUGUUGUUUCUUUUGAGUGAUAAUUAGGGUCCCCGGGUAGGAUGCACAUCUAACUAGGCAUCCGGAUGUCCUCGGAUCAUCUAGUUGGGGUUUUAGACUUCCCUGGGUAGCUCCGUGAGCUUCCGAGAAGGUACCUCGUAUGAGUAGGAAAUUUGAGUUAUCUGAGGGAUAUCGUCACGAAAAGGAUGGGGAUAAGUGGCUCUUUGCCUGUCGGUUUUUUGAAAUUUGAACCAUCAUGGCGGAAAUUUCACCUGGUGGUAAAAAAAACUUUUUCUGGCAAAAGAUCAUGAUGAUGUCUGGAAACUGCAGCACAUUCAUCGUGGUAGUGCGCCAGCUCUCCAGGUAUUUCGUACCAAUAGCCCCUUCAUGCGCCGGAAGAGAUCCCAAACAUAAAAUACGAUAGGACCCUGACACAGAAGAUCAUAGCUCUGAGUAGCACUCGGAACCGCAGCGAAGGAGAAAAAGAAGAAUAAACGCAAGGCCAAACCACCCGACGUCAUGACAGUCGAGCAGACCGGCCAACCACACCGACGCUUCGAGAAAACAGACGGAAGGAAGGGACGAGGCUGUUGCCUGAUACAUCGUACCGACGCCCACGAUCUGACCGAAUACAAUGUCUUACGGGGCAUCAUCAACAAGGAGCUUAGGGAGCGCAGGCCUAGCCGUAGCGACUAUAGUGAGGACGCGGCCGACCCUGACCAGUCGGCGCUGGGUUUCCAUGAGGCCGAUCACACGGUCCACCAUAUCUUCAGGGGCGCCGCAACGUAUUCCUCGAACAGGGAGUACAAGUCGGUGGUCCGUGGGGUGUGGACGACCACUCUAGGACCAAGCCUGCGCUUGAAGUGGUCGGAGGUACCCCUCACUUUCAGCCAGGCCGACCACCCCGCGCAGGUCAAACGCCUUGGUCGCUACCCCAUCAUGGUCGAACCAACGGUGCAGAACAUCCAUUUGGGACAAGUACUAGUCGAUGGAGGGAGCACCAUCAACCUCCUCUUCGCCGACACGCUGGACGCCCUGCAGAUUCCAAGGAGCGCGUUGAAACCCUCUCCCUCUCCUCCCUUCUUCGGAAUCACCACCGGCUCCUCAGCAAAACCGUUCGGGUGAAUUGAGUUUUCCAUCACCUUCGGCUCACCGAGUAACUUCAGGACUAAAGGUCCUGUUCGAUGUGGCAGAUUUCAGGACCACUGACAAUGCUAUCCUGGGUCGACCAACGACGACCCAAUUCAUAGCCGUCGCCCACUACGCUUACCAGGUCAUCAAGAUUCGUGGUCCGACGGGAGCCAUCAAUGUCUUCGGCAAUAUAAAGACGACCCUGUACUGCGACAAGAGUAGUCUCGACAUGGUCAGGCUAACUCCUGGGUCACACCCGAGAAUGUCGGGCACAGUGAUCGCCUGGUGAAGGUUCACAUCGUCGCUAGUCCAUACGGUCAGCUCAAAGCCGUUUGGCUCGACGAUUCUGACCCAUCCCAGGACGGUCCAGAUUGGGGCCAGUCUGGAUGCCAAAUAGGAAUUCACGCUCGUCACUUUCCUCCGGGCAGACGCGAACGUCUCUCUGUGGAAUCCGUCCGAUAUAUCUGGAAUCCCUAGAGACGUGAUCGAGCACUAAUUGUCAGUACGGCCUGACACGCGACCAAUAAAGCAAAAGACCCGUCGGUUUGCACCCAACCAAAAAGAAGCACUUCGAGAGUAUAAGGGCCUUUCUUUCCGAGCAGCUACUGGACCAUCCAUAGCACCACCUUUUAUUUCUUUUGACUGAUGAAGUUUUUUCACUCGAUGAAUGCAGCAAUAUCCUGAAGUUUGAGCUAAUUUCAUCCAUCUUCCGUCUGUCAUAAUAUAUCACUCUUCUGUACCUUGGCUAUACAGUUUUCUGUUGACAGCAGCUUCCGAAGUUGUACAAUUUUCAUGGUUCAUGAUAGGCAAUUUCUCAGCUCUUUGAGUGAACCAAAUCGCAAAGAGUUGGUUGAUGCACUGGGUUCAUCCUCCAAGCUAUGUUUUUUCUUGGUUUUCCCUACACAACCAAUUACUCCCAGAAUGGUGGAUUCGGUCUCCUGGGUGGCUGGGUCCUGCUUCCUGCAGCUAAGCAGCUUUGCUGUGGGUACCACAAUAGAUCUGCUGGCUUUUGGCCGUCAAGAGGGGCAGAAGGCUAGCUUGAUGAUACAUUUGUUUGAUCUUCGGUCUCAAAACAAAAGGUCAAUGGUCUGUACUGCAAAAGGGAGACUAACAGAAGUCCAAGAUUCCUUCCUCCUCCGGGUGGAUGGUCCCAGUUGAGUUGGACGUUUUGGUGGGAAGCGGACAAACCAAAGCAGGUGCUGUACGAGAAGGUGCCGCAAUAGCAAUUGGAAUUAUAGAGGACUUUGUAGCUUGGAAUAACAAAAGAACGGGAUUUUUUAUGUGAGAUCUGCCUAUCAUAUGGAGAGGUGGAACCAACAUGGCAAGAAAUUAAACAAGCGGAACUGCAUCAGCUAAUGAUAAUCCUGUUUGGAAAACCCUAUGGUAGCUGUGCGUGCUAACAAAGGUGAAGAUUCACUACCAGAGGGUUCUGGAUGGCACUCUCCCUUGCUACGGCGUGUUGGCGAAUCGUCACGUCCCGAUGUCGUCCAUGUGUCCGCUGUGCAAGACCUUAUGUGAGGAUAUCAUGCAUGUGUGCUUUGGUUGUGCACGGGUACGUGAAGUCUGGUAUAAUCUCAGGCUGCUGGAGAAAAUCAAGAGCGUUAUGAUGGUUGACAGGGCAGGCUCCACGACCCUGAAGAAAUGCUGCGUUUGCUGGAAGAAAAGUCGAUCUUGUUCCCACGUGUGGGGAUCAUGGUUCACAAAUGCAUCGGUAACCGCCCAAAAAUCGUGGUUACUAAACUUCUCGGUCCAGUUUCAGAAACCAAACGGUAACCAAAAUUUGAAUUCGAAAAAAUCAAAAAAAUCAAAAAAAAUCAAAAAAAUAUUUAAAAAAACUAGACAUAAUUCUAAGACCUUCUGUGAAUUUUUUUUUCAAAAAUAAUAUCGUUUGCAUUGUAUUCUAUAGGGAGGAAGUUUAAAAAAAAUAUAAAAAAAUUGAAGCGUGCGGCUAAGUUAUUAACUCAUGUUAAGGAAAAGUGUAACAUGCAAACACAUAUUUUUCUUAUGUAAAAUGUAUUUUAAAAGAAUCUUUAAAAUUGAUUUCACUUUAUUUAGAGUUUUAUUAAAUUCUCUAUGAUUUUUACAAAGUUCACAAGCAUAAAGUGAAUAUGUUAAGAAAUAACACUGUAAUUAACUUUUUCAUAUCUACUAUUAUUUUUCCUACGUAAAUCAUAAUAUAAAUAAGCUAAUAAAAAUGGUUUCACUAAUAUUUGAGGUGUGAUGGGUCAGUUAUGAAUUAAUCUAGUCGCAAUACAUUUACACAAUCAUGCAUGUUACAAUAACUAAUUCAUGAGUUUAUGUAUUUUUAAAAGACAUAGGAUCAUGUAAGAAGACUAACAAAAUUAGUUUCAUGAUUUUUGGAUUAGCAAAGAGUAAACUAUGUAUUUAACUUGGUUUAACAAAUACAAUUUCUCACAGAAAAUUAUGAACUUUUUUAUGAGUAUAAAUACUUUUAUCAUGUAGAUCAUGUCAUAAGGAAACCAACAAAAUUUGUUUCACUUGAUUUGAAGUUCAAAUGAAUUAGUUAUUUAUUAUAGAACAUUGAGAUAAUUUUUAGAUUUUUUUUUGAACUUCACUGAAAAUCGAGAAAACUGCUCGAUAAAUCGAGAAAACCGAGCGGUUACCGAAAAUGUGGAAAAUUCGAGAAAACCGCUCGAUAAAUCGCAAAAACCGCUCGGUAACCGGUUCAAACCGACCAGUUACCGAACGGCUAAAAUCGUGAUUUUUUUUCUUCCAAAUUUU